rnacentral:rRNA from 1 species
ACGGUCGGACAUCGUGAGGUUAGUGCAAAGGCAUAAGCCAGCUUGACUGCGAGCGUGACGGCGCGAGCAGGUACGAAAGUAGGUCUUAGUGAUCCGGUGAUUCUGAAUGGAAAGGCCAUCGCUCAACGGAUAAAAGGUACUCCGGGGAUAACAGGCUGAUACCGCCCAAGAGUUCAUAUCGACGGCGGUGUUUGGCACCUCGAUGUCGGCUC